GUGGGUGGACUCGCUCUCGCCACACGAGCAGCUCCACCACCUCAACCAGAAGCUGCAAGAGACGAAGCAGAAGGAGGACCACCGCUUUGCCCACAAGUUGCGCAUGAGGCUCUGGGUGAUGUCAGACGCCACACACGGGGUCAGGGUGGAUGCGUGCGAGGAGCUGCUGGAGGAUGUGGGGCUGUCUCCCUCCCUCCUGCGGCCCCUUCCCUCGCCCUCCUCGGGGUGGGGGGCACGGGGGUGCCGAGACCACCGGGAGGGAGAGGCGGG